AUGCCCGGGAGUUUAAGGCACACGGGGACAACUUUGCCCUGUCCUGAGCUCCGCCGAGCCCCGGCACCCCCGGGGUGCUGCGUGCUGCCCCGAGCCGGCCGCGUUCAAGUCAUUGAUGCGAAAAGUCAGCACCGGCACCCAACUUCUGCCCGGGGGAUGCUCGCAGCGGCUCAGGAUGCCGGCUGCAGCCUGGGGCACCCACAGCUUCCCCGACCGACACCGGCACCCCCGGGGCACGCUCGGGACCUUUUCCCCGGGACAAACGGGGUCGGGGUCGGUACUCACCGGCGGGGGGGAGGUCGGGUCGGGUCUGGCCGGGCUGGCAGCGGGCGGGCAGCAGCCGGGGCAGCGCUCCCCCUGCGCUCCCCUCCGCUCCCCUCCGCUCCGCUCCGCGCCGCCUCCCCGCCGCCCGCCGCAGCCCCGCGCCCCCGCGGCUCCCGGCGCAGCCGCGGCCACCGGGCUCCCUCUCCUGGGCGACCGUGGCCCCGCGCCCCACCGCCGGGCAGCCCCAGGAGGGGGGCACCGCCGCCGGGAUGCUCUCUGUGUGCCCCCUUGCACCCCACAAAGCCCCCAAAGCCGCCCCGGUUCCGCAGGGAGAGGGACCCCGGGGGAUGCGGGGACCGGGGCACAAAGCCCAGGGAUGGAGAGCGGCCCCCUGGGGACUCCCGGUUGAGCUUCUCCGGUAGGGCCGGGGCUCAGAGCCAAAAAAUCGGCUUGGCUAGCCCGGGGCAGCCGCUAGACGGGAACCCCGAGGCCGCCGUCGGGCAGGGAGCGGGUGCGGUGAACCCGGCGCUGUGGGCACCGCUGGAGGGGCUGAGAAGGAGGCAACAAACUUCAGUUCCUAGGGGCAUCCCUGUCCCUGCUUACGGGAUAAAAUCCUCCCUGCAGGGAGGGAACAAGGAGAAAAACCUCAAGCUCAGUUGCCCGAGGGUGCUCAGGUGCCUGAGGAUCCGUACCUUGAGCGAUUUGUCCCGGGUCAGGCGAGGGGACAGCAGAGGGACGAGUGGCUCCGGCCCUUGGGACCUGCCGGGAGCCCCAGGGCUGGCACCCCACGGGCAGGGGCUGAGUCCCGGCCUCCGGCUGAGGGAGUAA
rnacentral:lncRNA from 1 species